ACGGGACAACAUCAAACCCAAAUGCACCACACAUCACCUCAUGAACCUGCAGCUCCGGACACACAACUGGACUUUUAACUGUUUGGAAACACUCUGACAAGAAGAUACGCUGUAGCGAGAGGGAAGAAGCAGAGAAGAAGCUGGGAGAAUCAGAAGCAGGAGAGUGACCACUGGGUACGAAUUCAUAAAUCCUGGAAAGAGGAUCUACUUUACAAACUUGAGGUCGUCCAUCCACCAGUAUUAACCUCUCCGUCUGCAGUAUCUACAGUAAAUGUUGUCCUCUAGAGUUGUGGAGUGUGACAAUGGUGUUUGUGUCCUGUGUUUCAAACGCCAUUUUCACACUAAAUAGCUACAGUGUGAAACAGACCUCAGUAUAUUCUUCAGUUUCCUGAUUGGCUUUUUAUUUAUCCUUCUGUUUGUGGUGUUUUUGUAGCUCUGUAAUAGUUUCCUCAUUAAUUCUGUAAAGCCUAAAAACACAUAGAGGACACAUUACACCUUGCAGGAGGGGCAGAGAUGAAAAUAGAUGUGUGUUAAUACGGACCAACAUCCUACAUGAUCUUAAGCCUCUGAGUGUGACCCACUUUCUUUAGCGUUUGAGGUGCUAAUUUGCUGCUGGAGACCUUCUCCUGUAAGCAUAAAUAGAGUGCCCAUUUGUUUUCAUGCUGCAGCCAUUUCUUGUGUUGUCAUCAUUCAAACUUUUUCCAACAUGUAAACGGGUCAUCUACUAUGAUUGCACAAUGGUCUUCAUCCAUGCAAAUUGCGUAAAUAAAGUGUUUAUUUUUGUCUGUUGCUAUAGAGUGAACUUUAUCCAUUCAUGAGAAAGACGUAAUAGUCACAUU